rnacentral:rRNA from 1 species
AACGAACGCUGGCGGCGUGCCUAACACAUGCAAGUCGAGGGAGAAAGCCCGCAAGGGUUAGUAAACCGGCGAACGGGUGCGUAACACGUGGAUAAUCUACCUCGGUAACCGGGACAACUGGCCGAAAGGCUUGCUAAUACCGGAUAAGCCCACGACGUCCAUGGACGUCGCGGGAAAAGGCGGCCUCUGCAUGCAAGCUGUCAUAUCGAGAUGAGUCCGCGGCCCAUCAGCAGUUGGCGGGGUAAUGGCCCACCAAGGCGACGACGGGUAGCUGGUCUGAGAGGAUGAUCAGCCACACUGGAACUGAGACACGGUCC